rnacentral:rRNA from 1 species
AGAGUUUGAUCCUGGCUCAGGAUGAUUUCUGGCGGCGUGCCUAACACAUGCAAGUCGAGCGAAGCAAUUAAGAGGAAGUUUUCGGAUGGAAUGUUAAUUGACUGAGCGGCGGACGGGUGAGUAACGCGUGGGUAACCUGCCUCAUACAGGGGGAUAACAGUUAGAAAUGACUGCUAAUACCGCAUAAGCACACAGAACCGCAUGGUUCGGGGUGAAAAGCCGAGACGGUAUGAGAUGGACCCGCGUCUGAUUAGCUAGUUGGAGGGGUAACGGCCCACCAAGGCAACGAUCAGUAGCCGACCUGAGAGGGUGACCGGCCACAUUGGGACUGAGACACGGCCCAAACUCCUACGGGAGGCAGCAGUGGGGGAUAUUGCACAAUGGGGGAAACCCUGAUGCAGCGACGCCGCGUGAGUGAAGAAGUAUUUCGGUAUGUAAAGCUCUAUCAGCAGGGAAGAAAAAAGACGGUACCUGACUAAGAAGCUCCGGCUAACUACGUGCCAGCAGCCGCGGUAAUACGUAGGGGGCGAGCGUUAUCCGGAUUCAUUGGGCGUAAAGCGCGCGUAGGCGGCCGCCUAAGCGGAACCUCUAACCCCGGGGCUCAACCUCGGGCCGGGUUCCGGACUGGGCGGCUCGAGUGCGGUAGAGGAGAGCGGAAUUCCCGGUGUAGCGGUGGAAUGCGCAGAUAUCGGGAAGAACACCGAUGGCGAAGGCAGCUCUCUGGGCCGUCACUGACGCUGAGGCGCGAAAGCGUGGGGAGCAAACAAGAUUAGAUACCCUGGUAGUCCACGCCGUAAACGAUGAUUACUAGGUGCCGGGGGACUAAGGUCCUCCGGUGCGGGCGCAAACGCAUUAAGUAAUCCACCUGGGGAGUACGUUCGCAAAGAAUGAAACUCAAAAGGAAUUGACGGGGACCCGCACAAGCGGUGGAGCAUGUGGUUUAAUUCGAAGCAACGCGAAGAACCUUACCUGGUCUUGACAUCCGGAUGCCGUAUGGGCAAUGCCAUAUUUCCUUCGGGACGUCCGAGACAGGUGGUGCAUGGUUGUCGUCAGCUCGUGUCGUGAGAUGUUGGGUUAAGUCCCGCAACGAGCGCAACCCCUAUUUCCAGUAGCCAGCAGGUAAGGCUGGGCACUCUGGAGAGACUGCCCGGGACAACCGGGAGGAAGGCGGGGAUGACGUCAAAUCAUCAUGCCCCUUAUGACCAGGGCGACACACGUGCUACAAUGGCGUAAACAAAGAGAGGCGACCACGCGAGUGUGAGCGAAUCUCAAAAAUAACGUCUCAGUUCGGAUUGUAGUCUGCAACUCGACUACAUGAAGCUGGAAUCGCUAGUAGUCGCGCAUCAGCCACGGCGCGGUGAAUACGUUCCCGGGCCUUGCACACACCGCCCGUCA